rnacentral:hammerhead_ribozyme from 1 species
GCACUGCUGAUGAGUCCCAAACAAGACGAAACAGCUGUCCAGUGC